CCUGCCUGGUGGAGGAACUGAUGGAGGCCCUGCCUGGUGGAGGAACCGAUGGAGGCCCUGCCUGGUUGAGGAUUUCUGUCGUUGGGUAGAUGGAGCCCGACUCUGAAGUGAUCAUCACACUCAGUGCCACUUACCGUAGAAUACUGCUACCACAAACUACCAGCCUUUGUUAAUAUACCAGUCAACUACAUCUGUUUUACCACACAUUAAAGCAAGACUUCCGCUGUUUGUUCCAGACUAUGAAUCUGUCUGAAGAGAGCUGGUGGGGGAGCUGAGAAGCUGUAAGACGAUUAGGAAUUGACAACAAGGAUUCCUUACGUUGGGGCCAGAUUUGAGCUGUUU
ensembl:lncRNA